CUUCGAGUCGUUGAUUUCACACUGCCGAGAAAAGCCUCUAGAUAGAAAAUAGGUGCCCGUACCGCAAACCGACACAGGUAGUCAAGAUGAGAAUUCUAAGGUGAGCGAGCGAACUCUCGUUAAGGAACUCGGCAAAAUGACCCCGUAACUUCGGGAGAAGGGGUGCUCUUUAGGGUUAACGCCCAGAAGAGCCGCAGUGAAUAGGCCCAAGCGACUGUUUAUCAAAAACACAGGUCUCUGCUAAACCGUAAGGUGAUGUAUAGGGGCUGACGCCUGCCCGGUGCUGGAAGGUUAAGAGGAGUGGUUAGCUUCUGCGAAGCUACGAAUCGAAGCCCCAGUAAACGGCGGCCGUAACUAUAACGGUCCUAAGGUAGCGAAAUUCCUUGUCGGGUAAGUUCCGACCCGCACGAAAGGCGUAACGAUUUGGGCACUGUCUCAACGAGAGACUCGGUGAAAUCAUAGUACCUGUGAAGAUGCAGGUUACCCGCGACAGGACGGAAAGACCCCGUGGAGCUUUACUGUAGCCUGAUAUUGAAAUUCGGCACAGCUUGUACAGGAUAGGUAGGAGCCUUUGAAACGUGAGCGCUAGCUUACGUGGAGGCGCUGGUGGGAUACUACCCUAGCUGUGUUGGCUUUCUAACCCGCACCACUUAUCGUGGUGGGAGACAGUGUCAGGCGGGCAGUUUGACUGGGGCGGUCGCCUCCUAAAAGGUAACGGAGGCGCUCAAAGGUUCCCUCAGAAUGGUUGGAAAUCAUUCAUAGAGUGUAAAGGCAUAAGGGAGCUUGACUGCGAGACCUACAAGUCGAGCAGGGUCGAAAGACGGACUUAGUGAUCCGGUGGUUCCGCAUGGAAGGGCCAUCGCUCAACGGAUAAAAGCUACCCCGGGGAUAACAGGCUUAUCUCCCCCAAGAGUUCACAUCGACGGGGAGGUUUGGCACCUCGAUGUCGGCUCAUCGCAUCCUGGGG
rnacentral:rRNA from 1 species